rnacentral:lncRNA from 1 species
AGUAGUGGCAUUAUUUAUGCUUGUACAAGAUUGGUGUUGAAGUUAUGUUGAGACAACGAUGAUUGUAGUUGUGGGUUGAGGUACACUGUGGUCGAACUUGAGUUAGCUAAAUCUGGAUAUAGCUGAAGUGUGAACGUGUUUGUGCAUCAUUGUUUGUUUGAAUUGUUGCUUUGGGUGGAUAAUGAAUUGAUAAUGAAAAUUUCAAAGACAACAUUAAGGGG